CUUUCCUCCCCUCACUUUUCCACAACCAGCCACCUACAGCUCUGAGCAGCUCUGCAUCCUUAGCAGGUCACUGGGGAGCCUACCUGCGGCAGCGUGGUGUUAUGAACAGAGAACAGGUUUAGGAGUCGCAGUCUGGGUUCUACUUCCAGAUCCGUCCUUUACAAGCUGCCCCUUCAAGGGAGUUGAGGGUCCCAGCCCACCAUGAUCUGGCCCCUCCCUGAAGUUUUGGAGGGCACGGUGUCUCUCUGCCUGCGAUGCCCCUCCCGGUCCAAUUCUGCACCUCCUAUGGGAUGUCAUUGACCUGCGAAUGGCGAGACCAUCUAUUCAGUUUCUGAAGGCAAAAACUCAGGAUCUAGCUACUGAUCCAGACCGGGUCCAUCAACCCCCAUACCCACGGCAAGUCGUAUCAGUUUCACCUCCACAACGCACCUGAAAUCCAUCCUCCUCCUUCCACCUCUACCGCUCCACCCUCGUCCAGACCCCCA
rnacentral:lncRNA from 1 species